rnacentral:piRNA from 1 species
UGCCUUGUAUUAAUUAAUACUCAUUGCAGA